rnacentral:rRNA from 1 species
CAGCACCUCAAGUGGUCAGGAUGAUUAUUGGGCCUAAAGCAUCCGUAGCCGGCGCUGUAAGUUUUCGGUUAAAUCUGUACGCUCAACGUACAGGCUGCCGGGAAUACUGCAGCGCUAGGGAGUGGGAGAGGUAGACGGUACUCGGUAGGAAGGGGUAAAAUCCUUUGAUCUAUUGAUGACCACCUGUGGCGAAGGCGGUCUACCAGAACACGUCCGACGGUGAGGGAUGAAAGCUGGGGGAGCAAACCGGAUUAGAUACCCAAGUAGUCC